ACUUGCAAUCUUUAAAACACGAAACGUGGGUCAUUCUCUGGCACGAGACUGGGCCACGUCUAUAGUAAAAACAGAGCCGUUGGAUCGGGCACGAACGGCAGGAAGCAUCCCUGGCCGACUCCGCCCUCCAGCUCGGCAUGCGCCGCAGGCUGCCUGCUUGCUCCUGCGCUGCACGGGCGCCGUCCUCGUCCAACAGCCACACCGCCGCCUCCAUCCUGUUCCUGGGCGCGGACGUUGCAGCCCCGGGCUCGUUGGCGGAGGAUGCGGCUGCACCGCAAGGAGCCUGCUCAGGGAGGAUUGGAGCCAGCGGACGGAGCAGCGGAAUAGCCAGCGCGGGGAGAAGAGGCGACGCAUGGGGACAGAGGCGGGGGUUGCUAGAAGACGAUGGGACCACCGGCAAAAUCCGCCAUGAGCGCCCAUCCAUGAACGGAUUGCUUUAGCCUCGACCUCCGCCUCCGCACCAGGGAACCUCCCCCACCCCUCAGGCGGAGCCCUCGUUGAUUGCAGCGGCUCGCCGUCGACGCAAAGAAGCCACCGUCGCCGCCAUGGCCGGCCCUCAUGCACUGAUUGAUUCAAGUUCUGGAGAUGAGAGUGCCAACAGUUGACUGUGUCAUUAAGCAUGGAGGGCAAGCAAAUCCGAUCUGUCAGUUGUGUCAAGCAAGUGAUGAAUCGACAAUACACCUUAUGGCCAAGUGCUCAUAUGGAGAAGUGUGGAACAUGGCGGUGGCAUGAAUCAACCAGUGAUCCCCCAACUUAAUGAUGUGCAUCAAAUCAAACAAUGGUGGCCUGAAACGACUGCUGCAAACAACAUGCAAUCACACGUGCAAGUCAUCAUAUACACAGCGCAGAAUCUACGGAAGGAGCUUUGUCGGCGGCUGCUCGAAAACAGGACACAGAGGCCCUCAUAGUUCCAGAGGUCAUCAUGCCAGACCUACAGAACUUCAGUUUAGUGCACUUGGAGCAGGAGUAAUCGGUUGCCGUUGUACAUACGCAUAAUCUUCUUUUCUUUAGCUUACCCAAAUUGUAAUUAUUUUGCUUCCUGCUAUAAUGAAAAAGUAGAGCACCUGCUAUUUUCCUAAAAAAAAUUCUGAUAAAGAGGUUGCCACUGCCUAUUAUUUGAUUCUGAUA